rnacentral:rRNA from 1 species
GACGAACGCUGGCGGCGUGCUUAACACAUGCAAGUCGAACGGAAAGGCCCUGCUUUUGUGGGGUGCUCGAGUGGCGAACGGGUGAGUAACACGUGAGUAACCUGCCCUUGACUUUGGGAUAACUUCAGGAAACUGGGGCUAAUACCGGAUAGGAGCUCCUGCUGCAUGGUGGGGGUUGGAAAGUUUCGGCGGUUGGGGAUGGACUCGCGGCUUAUCAGCUUGUUGGUGGGGUAGUGGCUUACCAAGGCUUUGACGGGUAGCCGGCCUGAGAGGGUGACCGGCCACAUUGGGACUGAGAUACGGCCCAGACUCCUACGGGAGGCAGCAGUGGGGAAUAUUGCACAAUGGGCGGAAGCCUGAUGCAGCAACGCCGCGUGCGGGAUGACGGCCUUCGGGUUGUAAACCGCUUUCGCCUGUGACGAAGCGUGAGUGACGGUAAUGGGUAAAGAAGCACCGGCUAACUACGUGCCAGCAGCCGCGGUGAUACGUAGGGUGCGAGCGUUGUCCGGAUUUAUUGGGCGUAAAGGGCUCGUAGGUGGUUGAUCGCGUCGGAAGUGUAAUCUUGGGGCUUAACCCUGAGCGUGCUUUCGAUACGGGUUGACUUGAGGAAGGUAGGGGAGAAUGGAAUUCCUGGUGGAGCGGUGGAAUGCGCAGAUAUCAGGAGGAACACCAGUGGCGAAGGCGGUUCUCUGGGCCUUUCCUGACGCUGAGGAGCGAAAGCGUGGGGAGCGAACAGGCUUAGAUACCCUGGUAGUCCACGCUGUAAACGGUGGGUACUAGGUGUGGGGUCCAAUCCACGGGUUCCGUGCCGUAGCUAACGCUUUAAGUACCCCGCCUGGGGAGUACGGCCGCAAGGCUAAAACUCAAAGGAAUUGACGGGGCCCCGCACAAGCGGCGGAGCAUGCGGAUUAAUUCGAUGCAACGCGUAGAACCUUACCUGGGUUUGACAUGGAUCGGGAGUGCUCAGAGAUGGGUGUGCCUCUUUUGGGGUCGGUUCACAGGUGGUGCAUGCCUGUCGUCAGCUCGUGUCGUGAGAUGUUGGGUUAAGUCCCGCAACGAGCGCAACCCUUGUUCACUGUUGCCAGCACGUUAUGGUGGGGACUCAGUGGAGACCGCCGGGGUCAACUCGGAGGAAGGUGGGGAUGACGUCAAGUCCUCAUGCCCCUUAUGUCCAGGGCUUCACGCAUGCUACGAUGGCUGGUACAGAGAGUGGCGAGCCUGUGAGGGUGAGCGAAUCUCGGAAAGCCGGUCUCAGUUCGGAUUGGGGUCUGCAACUCGACCUCAUGAAGUCGGAGUCGCUAGUAAUCGCAGAUCAGCAACGCUGCGGUGAAUACGUUCCCGGG